rnacentral:misc_RNA from 1 species
AAAUAUGACAGUAAAUCCUUCAGCCGAGGCAGGAUUACUUACAUCCCAAUCACCAAACUUGGGCAAGGGCAGACCUUUAUCCUGCCAAAGAGGAAAAUUUUGUCUUAAGAAGAUCAGUCGACCUCAUUGUGACAUUCCAAUGGCUUGAAUGCUUUAAAGCCAUUUAAUUUCAUUAUAACGUUUGGUCAUCCAUUCAUGAAGAAAUUAAAUUGGAUUAAUUCAUUUGCUUUUUCGUCUUUUUAUCCUUCUAUAUGUUAAACACCAUUAAGAGUAAUUUUCCAUCGAAAACUGAUCGCGAAUCUAAGCCCAUCACCCAUAAAACACACCAAACAUUGCCAGCUCCAGCUCUCCCUCCUGCCAGUUUUAUGAAAAGACAAGAAAUUGGCCAAUAAAAGAUAGCAUUUUCAAACGCAAAAGCAGCAAAAUUUUGGUCCUGAAACCUGAAAAUUUGACCAUAACAGUAAAGAUACGCAAGCAAGAAAUUUCUAUCAACGUCAUCUCUGAACAAAAAACAGAUUCUGGGGGGGAAAAGCAGUCACAAUUUCUUCACCCAAAUCUCACCAUGUCAACGAUUCAACACAAAUCCUAUCACCUUUGGAAGGCUAAAAAGAUUUUUAUCCAAUUACCGACGCCAUGAAAAACGAAUUGAUGAGAAGAAGAAGGGGGAAUCUUACCGAGGCCAUGAAAGGAAGAUUACAGGAACUUCCACUUCAAAGGAUCGGAUUUUGGUGUGUGUGUGAGAGAGAGAAGGGUGGAGGCUAGUGGCGAUUCAGGAAACCAGAGAGAAACUUUUAUAGAGAAAGAGACUCGUGAG